GUUGGGGUGCUCGAGUGGCGAACGGGUGAGUAACACGUGAGUAACCUGCCCUUGACUUUGGGAUAACUUCAGGAAACUGGGGCUAAUACCGGAUAGGAGCUCCUGCUGCAUGGUGGGGGUUGGAAAGUUUCGGCGGUUGGGGAUGGACUCGCGGCUUAUCAGCUUGUUGGUGGGGUAGUGGCUUACCAAGGCUUUGACGGGUAGCCGGCCUGAGAGGGUGACCGGCCACAUUGGGACUGAGAUACGGCCCAG
rnacentral:rRNA from 1 species